UUGAUGCUAUGGUUGUAUAAGAUUCCUAUGAGCGGACAAGUAUUUUCAGUCUAUUACAUGAAUUCACAGGCAGUUACGCUAUGCUCAUCUGACAGACAAAUAUUUUUGUAAUACUUACAACGGGUUUUUUUGUCCUUUUGUUUUUGGCAUAGACAAAGCAAAGAAUUCAAUAGCUUAAUGCCAUAGGGAAGGGAUAUGAAUGAGAAGCAAGAGCUGUGCUGGCACUAGUUUGAGAAAGGAGAAUGAAAUACGCAGUCUCUGAAAGGUUCUAGCAAAUAUCACUGUAGUGAUGGGAUGAAAGGCAACAGAAGAAGUGAGCAAGACUUUGGUUCACUGCUGUAAUACACUAAAAGACACAGAACUGGUGUUGCUCGCCCAGUGAGAGGCAAUAUUGAUCUUGUUCCUUCUCAACAUCAGUCUUUAGAGACAAAAAUGUAGAAGUUUAAAUCUACAUUCUUCAGUUUUGUAGAUCGUUAAGAUAGAAAAGAUCUUAAUUUAAUUACUCAGCACAUCUCUAACUAUGCUGAACACAGUCAGACUUUUUCUAUUCCUCCCCAAACUUUUAUUCUGUUUUCUUCCUGUAUAUUACAGAUUACACGGUAGUUAGUUCUUUGGCCUUUUAGUUUCAAUUUCUAUUGUUAAUUAGAAUGCUGCUGUGUACAAUUGAAAAAGCCUCAUAAACUCCAGGGUUAAUUGUUUUUGUGUUGCUAGCCUGUAAUCUCAAAUUUUGAAGCUUUCUUUUUAGAAAGCAUAUGAGGCUGUUGUUAGAACUUAAUGCUGUUUUCUCUUCUGCACCCUGGCAAACAGUAGAAGUAGUGAGGCUUAAUGAAUUUCCACUAGUCAGCUGAAUAGAAACUAUCAGCACUGAAUAGAAACUCCUACAUUUUAUUUCAUAUAUGAUGUCUGUCUUGUCUGAGUCUCCUGAAAUGCUGUCAUGAGCAUAUCUUCUUUUGGGUAUUAGGUAAGACUUGCUCUUUCAACAGCUGAAACAAGUACUGGAGUUGGUUUGUUAUUUGCAGAAUAGAGGAAAAGAAGUGUUUUCCUUCAAGUGGGCCACUGUCUUUGCCAUGAAGGUAGAAUUCAGGAACCUUUAGUGGUGAAUCUGCUGCAUAUUUUUUACACUGAGAACGAGGCUUUAGGAUUGUAUUUGCUUCCAGUUUUGUUCCCAGGAGCUCUGUUUUCUCCAGUCCCAACUGUGUGCAAAAGAGACACAGUAUUUGUAUGUUGAAGUAACUUUAGUGGAAAACUCCACACAAACAGGAGAGGAAAUGUAUCACCAAACACAAGACAGGGAACUGUAAAUUUUGAGAUUAAUCAUGGCUCUGACAGUGAAUAAACAGUCUGCUCCAGUUGUGGACUAUCUGAUUUUUUUUUUUUUUUUUUUUUUAAAGCACAGCUCUAAGCACAGAUAAGAUUAAUGCACAUGGACUUGGCCAGAGGAUCUUUCAUUUUGGUGAAUCCAGUAAUUCUCUUACUUCCGUUAAUAACUCACUUUGAAUGUGCACACAAUCUUCACAGUGUAUUUGGCAGGGUCAUUACAUUAUUGUUUCUUUUGACAUCUUGCUACGUGAGUUGAAGUUGCAGAUUUCAUGUGCCGAUGGAAGGAAAUAGCGCUGAUUAUCCUCACCCUGAUAGCCAUUGCAAGGACAAAUGAAGCAACAGCUCUAGUCAGAAAAAUCUAGACAAUACAAAGCACCAUGGUCUGAGUCUAGCACUAGAGCUGUGUGAUAAAGCUGUUUUUCUUUUCUAGUGAAUGCCAGCCCUUCAUGGCUGACUGGUGCAAUUUGUUAUUGUUCUGUCCCAAAUGAAAACACACUGGAUGGAAAUAGAAAUGGGGGGGCUAAGUGCCAAGAAAAACAUUUCUCUGGCCUAAAAACCUGCCACCACUCAGCACCUGUCUGGGCAUGAAUUGAACAUUGUAGCAGUUGAUGCACUGCAGUCUGACUGAUAGAUGUGUGAAAAUUUUAGCUGUGUGUUCUCAGUACUUGAGCACCCUCCUGGGAAAAAAGCAUGCGAAGCACAUUAGCUUAACCCUCCCUAUUCGUGGAAAGCAGGCAGCCUACAGUGAGGACUUGCUCACUUUCUUCUUCUGCUAUUGUUUGUGGAAAAUGGGGGGAAGUAAAUCACUUGCAGAUCAAUGCAAAUUCCUGUUAGGUUAGAGGUACUGGAGGAUGGUAGCAACUGGGCACUUAGGGUAAGAGUGAAAGACAAACAGAGAUGGACCUGACUUAGAAGUAUGCAGUAUAAUCAAUUCAGCAAAAGAUUUUUUUUAGCAUUUACUUCUCAAGGAGAAAUUCUAACUGCUCAGCAGCAGCAAUUUGUGACUGAGGAAUGAUCUGACAUGGAGAAGAAAGAGACCCAACUGCAAAAAAGCAUUAAACUGGCUGGAAGCAGCAAUGGCAGAGAUGGAACAAUCUCCUUGCAAGAGAGUGAAGUGAUCAUUGGUGAUGAGAAAAGAAAUAGCCUCAGCAUUGCCUUGUAGAACAUCCUGGUGCAAGCGUGUUAGGAAUCUGUGAUGUAUUUUUGCAGACUUUGUGUAAAACUGUGUAUUGUGGUAGGACUUUGUUAAUUAAAUUUUUAUUUUAUAUUUAAAUACAAAAGUAUAUUUAAUUUGCCUUCAGGGGAACCGUAAAAAUUACCUGACAAUUCCCUUCUUUAUUUGAUUUUUUCUGAUAUGGUAGCUAAACAUGUAACAAACAGUUAAUAAAUAGUAUGCACAAAAAUUCUGGAGUUGCAGACAACGUAAUUUCACCUGUCUAACCCUAGUUUAAGAGUCAUAAAGGACCUGAAAUGACCUAUAGGUUUCAGCCAUUCCCCAUGAAAGUCUGCAUAAGAAUUGCUUUGUAUGGUUUCUUUUGUUUGGAAGAGACCUUCCUGUUAUGUACCCGGAUGGUAUAAUGAUUAGUGAAGUGAAGAAAAACUACACAAUGGGAAUACUAGAAAAGUGGAAAAACUUAAUUUCUCCAUAUGUAGUCCAUUUGCCUACACAUUACCAUCAACCAGAAUUAUUUUCACUUUUAUAUGUAUUUUCUUUUAUAUAUCACGUAAGACAGUCUGUAUAAAAGUUAUACAUUUCCAUUUUUUGUGGUUAACCUUAGCUAUGAUAAAUUCUAAAAGACUGCAAAGGAAUAAUUCUAGUACAGGCCAGAAAUUUGCCUUGUGAUAUACAGAGCCUUUGCAUCAAAACUGUAGAAAAGUACAAGCAAGCUGCUGACACAGCUGGUACUUAGGAUGCAGCUGUUGCUGUAUUGUUUUCUCUUAUUGAUACUUUAAGCAAUGGCUUGAUGAGACAAUUAGCUUCAGAAGCUUAAUCUGGAUUUCACAAGUUUCAGAUGCUUACCUAAAGUUUAUCUCUGGUCUCAAAAUUUGUGACAGAGGGGCAGAAACAUAAACUCUGAAGAUUUAUGAGGCUUUGUGCAUCUGCUCUUAGUGGAAAUGAGUCCAGCUUUUCUCAGAAUCCAGAAGAUUAACUGAUGUCUUAAAAUUGGUAGUAGAUCCUAAACCUCAUUCUGCUCUUAGACAAGGUUUUUGAGUCGUUCUCCAGGAAAGUUAGUUGCCUUCUCUCUUAAAAAAAAAAACAAAAACAAAAACAAAACCCCAAGGAAAUAAGAUUUAAAAAAUAUGAAUAAAUUCUCUACAGCUCAGUUAGAAAGUUAUCUGUAUGCAAGGUCAGCUGAAAAGGUUGUGAGGUAAGCAGGAGAAUUUACAUGGGGAUAUUCCCACAGUUUGUCACACACGAUGUGUUUUAGUUCUCACGCUAUCAGUAUGAUCCCUUGGCUGAGUAGUCAUAGCAUAUGGUGUUCACUGGAUGUUCACUUACUCAGUGAAACAGAGGUGCUGGGCACUGACUGCAGUAGAUUUAUUAAGUAUAGUUUACAUCAUAAAUAUCAGUCUGAGUAUUCAUUCUGAAGAAGUUUCGCCAGUGUUCAUGCAGGUCCCUGUGAGAGCCAUUGCCACAAACACAGAACCUUGUUGGAUUGGUUUUAAAGAAACUCUAUCAAGUUAGUUAAAGGACAUAUGACAUGGUUUAGUGCCAAAUAGUAUUUUGUACAGUCAUUGAAUGAUACUGUCUGUGGUACCUGGAGACCAAAUUCUCCAAUUAUCUGCAUGUGUGCAUAAUGUUAAACCUAGAGAGGCUCCCUCAUUCUGUUAUAUGCAGACAAGAGGAUAAGUUAUUUCUAUAUUGAGGACUGGAGAAGAAUAGAAAGAACGAGAUUUUUAUAAAGUAAAAAAUAUAGAUGAGUUGACACAGUACAAGAUAUAGUUUCAGGAAGCAUACUUGAAGCAUUUCACUGAUGUAUCUUCUCUCCUUCUUUUGAAACUAAAAUACUUUAGUUUGUCUACCUCUUCUUCUGAAGUGUAUUUUGUUAUUGGACAUUGUAGUGUUCAGCUGCAGGGAUGUUAUCUGGUCUAAUAAGGGGAUUACUUUUUACCCUAAACCUGCCAAGGGAGAAAAUAGAUGGAAAAUGUAGUAAUUCUGCAUAAGAGGAGAAAGGAUCACAUGAUUUGCUUGGAAAAAAUAGGUCCCUGUCUGAUUGAAUUUCCAAUAAGUUUUCUAGUAAGCAUAUUUUCUAUCAAUACACCAUAAUGUACUGUUGAUACAGGUAGUAUGUACUAUGCAAUGUAUUUUCUGUGUCAUACAGAGGUAGAUGUGCAAGUAAUAAACUUUUAUUUGCAGCUAACACCACUGAAUUUGGGAAGGCCCAUGGGAGUCCAAACCAACUAACGUGGGUUGCAUGGUAGAAUACAUAAGAUUGUGCAUCACUAAUUUAAUUUAGAAUAAAAAACAAUCUAGAAAGCUAUGUCUUCUUGGAAUAACUACAGAGUACCUUGUUCCUUUGAGGUUUAUGAUGAAGUCAAUGUAAAGCAUUCAAGAGUACCAUAAUGUAUAAUCUCAAGACCAGCUCUGGUAUGAGUCAGCAGACUGUAGCAAACAAAAUAUUGAUUAUUAUUAAAAGAUUAUUUUUGGAUCAAGCAUGUCUGUGUUUCAAAAUUUAUUUAAACAUGCAAGUCCAAUACAGACUUCCAGCUGUUUUUAUGAGUUACUCUGUUGAUUAGCUUGUUGGCUCCCAAGGGAAAAAUUAACCUAUUUAUACUGAGGUGUGUUGGAUUUCAAAGUAUUUGGCAGCACCUAAGAAAGGCAUUGUGAAAAUAUUUCAUUAAAAUUAGGAGAGAUAAUUGCAGAUAUUUUAUCAGUCUUGCAUUAAGCCUCUGCCUUGAGGUACAACUGCUAGAGCACCAUAUUCCAGAAGCUGCCUUCUGAAAGAUUCUUUAGACACUCCUGGCAUUAUUUAGAAGAAACAAUCAUCCCAGACUGAGUAAGGAUUUGCAUUAGAAUCUAGACUGUAACAACACUACUUUCGAAUUACAAAAUCUGUUGAGGAACACUGGUUUAAAAAUAUUGCUUUUGUACUUCUGGUUUCUGGCUUAUUAUGAUGCAUAAACCUGAGGUUUUCACAAUGACUUUGCAAAGUUGUAUUCAAGAGCGUUUAAUCACCUUAUGUAGACUGGAUAUCUGAUCCUUCUACUGAGGAUAAUUGUGCUACUGUAAUAAUUGCCAGUACUUCCAGAAAAACGUACCUGUGAUUGAUUUAUUAAGUAGCUCUCAUUAGGAGACAGUGCUCUUCCUAGCGCACAGUGGGAUGUUGUUGGCCUUCUUGGCUGUGAGGUUGCAUUGCUGGCUCAUGGUCAGCUUGAGGUCACCAAGACUCAAGGUCUUUCUCUGCAGAGCUGCUUUCCAGUGUUCAGUCCCCAGAUGUGAGACUUUGCACAUCUCUUUGUUGAAUUUGAUGAGAUUCUUCUCAGCCUUAUUCUCCAGCCUGUCCAGAUCCUUUUGGAUGGCAGCAAAGCCAUCUGGUGGAUCAGCCACUCUUCCCAGUUUUGUGUCAUCUGCAGCCUUACCGAGAGUGUUCUCUAUCCCAUCAUACAGGUCAUUAAUACAUAUGUUAAACCAUUUUGGCCCCAGUUUUGACCACAGCGGUACAUACCUAGUGACUUGCUUCCUAGUAGACUUUGUACAUACACAUUUUCAUGUGAGGUUGUAGUCUGCAGUAAUAUCAAAGCACCCUGUUCUCCAAACAAAUUCUAAAAUACAAUGCUUUAUUUGCAGAAAUGAUUAUUACAUCGUAGAUCUUGCUGAAAACUAAAAUGUGUUAGAUUUGGAAAUAGUCUACUGAGAAUAUGAUCAGAGUGCGAAGUGUCCAUCUUUAUAACUCAAUGUGUUAAAUCAUCCUCUGGAAGGACUAUUUAGUUGUUCUGCUACAGUUAAUGGAGAAGCUAAUUUUAGGGAUGACUGUAAUGUGAAAGCUGCCCUGGACUGAAGUGUCAUUAACUAAAUGUUAUAAUUUGGAAUACUUGAUAGAAGAAGCAUGAAUGGCAUGCAAGAGUAACCACAUAUCCUGUGGAAAGUGUAAUCUUAUUUCUGGCUAGGAUUAGAGAAAUAUGGAGAAAAAAUAUAACUCUUAAUAGUAUGGGAACAAAUCCAGAUAAGACAUUGAACUUAAGCUUGUGAUCUCAUUGUGUCCAAAUGAUGCACCUUAAUACAAGGUCCAAAACAAAAAAAAGCCAAGUCUAACCCUAUAGCUUGGGAACAAAGAGUGGAGGAGGAAAGACAACGAGAUAGUUAUUGAACACAUCCUAAUCUGUUUCAGUGAGUAAAGGCUCAACUCAAUCGCUUCAUUCAGUAUACGUGGACAUGUGUUCAAAUAUAGGCACUUUCUUACCAGUGGUCAGAAAACAUCGGUGUGCAAGAGUGAACAGUGAGUUAACAACAUAUUUAUUGUGAAACUGAAGAAAUCCGUGGUGGAAAUUUUUCAGUAAUUGACUGAGUCUUAUGGUGAAGAGUGCAUGUCUCAUGCACAUGCUUUUGAAUGGCACAAAUGAGUUUUGGAAGGCAGAGAAAGCUUGAAAAAUGGCGAUUGGCUAGGCAACUCACACACAGCAGUUACUGAUGACAACAUUGAAAAACUGUGAGAUGUGAUUUGAAAAGGCAGAAGGCUGGACGUUUGACUUAUACCUGAGAAAGUUCAUUUGCACAGCGAAAGUGUUUGAUGCAUUUUAAUGGAAGAAUUGGACGUGGAAAAUAUUUGUGCAAAAAUGGUUCAAAAAAUGCUGUCAGACAAAAAAAGUGUCGCAAGGAAUUGUGUUUGGACCUUUUGCAAUGCAUUGAGGAUAAACUGGGUUUGUUGAAUUUGGUAAUUACUUGUGAUGAAAUUUGGAUAUUUACAUAUGAUCUGGAAACGAAGCAACAACCAAUGUAGUGGAAAUCGCAACACCCAAGACUGGAAAAAAACAUUCUUGAGUCAUUUGAAAUUCAAGGCCUUGUUGAUUGUUUUCUUCAAUAUCCAGGAUAUUGUGCUGGCAGAGUAGAUUCCCAGCAGACAGAUGGUAAAUCAGCAGUAUUACAUUGAAGUCUUGAUGAAAUUGUGCAAAUGUGUGAGAAGGAAACAAUGAGACGUGUGGAGAAAUGAGUAGAUUUUGCACAAAGACAACAGAUCAGCCCACAAGACUUUGUGAAGCAGUUUUUAGCUAAUAAGAACAUCACUGUAUUUGAGCACCCACCUUGUUCACCAGACCUGUCUCCUUGUGAUUUCUACCUCUUCCUAGAGAUCAAGUCAGUUCUCAAAGGAACCCAUUUUUUUUCUGAUAGAAGAUGCGAAAGCAAAAAUGAUGGAGGCUCAACAGCCUCUCAGAAAAUGAUUUGUGGAAUUGUUUUGAAUGUUGGCAGCAUCAUAUGCAGCUGUGUGUUGACUCAGAAAUAUUUUGAAGGUGCUCAAAGCUUAUUUUCUUAAUUUGUCAAAUAAAACAAGUUACAAGCGCAGUUUUGGGGCUUUUUUUGUGUUGGAUCUCGUGUCACUGUAAUCAAAGCCACAAAUCUGGUUGGUUCUUUGACAAAUCUCACAGAAAAAGCUCAGGUUGGGGAUGGGAAUUUAUUCAGUGCUAUCUGGGAGCAGUAUGUAUUCUCCUUUCUAUAACGAGGCAUUUUUUAGGUCAUUAAAAUACAACCUCAGAAAACCUCUUCAUUGAAGCCUGCAGCCUUUAGAAAAGAUCACAUUUUGUCAUGGGAGUGCAUACUUAAUGGGAUUUCUUGGCAGGCAUGUAGUUGAUGGAUGAUCCUUCCAUAUCAAAGUGCUAUGAAAUAGACACAUAUACGUCUCAGAUACUCAGCUAGUUAAAAGGACUAUUGGCUACAAUUAAUUACUUGCUUUCAUUUAAGCUGGGAACGGGGCCUUUAGUUCUCCCAAAAGAUUCCUCAGACUGUUUGAUUUUGUCAUUACUUGAAGCUGUUUGCAGAGGAAGAUGUUGGCCUUUUGUUCUUCUUGCUGCUUCUCUUUUAUACUUCAAAAAUCCUGUAUCUCCCUGUUUUGUUUAUAUUAAUCUAAGUUUUACAAUCUGUGAAGUAGCUUGGGUUCAUAAACAUGAGGGGCAUGUAAUGUUUCCACAAAUAUUACAUCACUCUUGCUUUCCCCCUCUUUUUGCAUUUUGCUCUCUUAAGACACACUCUUCUAGUCUUUUGUGUAGUCAAUCAAAAAUAUUUUGCAGGAAUUAGGGCUGGUUUGUGGGGCUUCUAGAGAGCAAAAUCUUACUUACACAUGAAUGGUCAAGACAAAAAUCCCAUAAGCAACUUUCAAAUCAUAUAAGCAAAUGAACAUAAUUGUAAGUCUAUAGAUGUUGUUUCUAGCAACUAUGUGAUAGAUGAUUUUAGAGUUGAAAAUUCUGAAGAAAAAAGGUUUUAAAUUAUUGUACAUUUUCUGUGGAAAUUUUCUUAAUUUUUUUUUCUUCUUCACUCCCUUACUCCACCAGCUUUCUGGUCCUUUUUUUCAUAAUGAGUUUAUACGUCUUUAAUAUUUCUGGAUUUUUAAGUAUAUUUUAGACAUUCUAAAGACAAGUUAAAAUGAACUGUGCAGAACGAAAUCUUGUAAGUAUUCCAGUUUGAAACAGAAUAAGUAAGGAGGUACAUAAAUUUCUCUGAAAAUAAAAGACACUUGCUUCUACAAAGGUAAGUAGAUGCUGAUGACACAUCACUACCAAACUAUCAUUGCUGAUAUAUUUCUGCAGCCAAUUAUUCAACAGUGUGGACUUGCAUAAUUUAGGAUUUUAUAUUCUGCAGACAUCUUAAAAUUGAAGAAUAAUUCAGGUGGUCUCUAGUUUACCUACAUUCCCAGAGAAAAACUCCAAGGAUUGUGCUUAGCCCUCAUGACCAGCGUUUAAUGCUGUGCAGUAUAGUCCCAAAUCCACCCCCUUACUCAGGGAAAGGGAAAAGAAAUAAGAGAAGAAAGACUUGUGGGUUGGAGAAAAACUAAAACAACUUUAAUGGAAUAAAAACAAAAAAAUGGAACAAUAAUUAUUAGCAAGGGAAUAAUAAAAUAUGUAUAUAAAUGUAAAUACCAAACCAAAGUCACACUUCCCCAAUAAUCAUGUCACCGCAGACGCUGCAGAGUAGGCACUGGGAAAGUCCCAUACUGGAAUCAGUGGCAGACAGGAUCUGGAUUCAGGAAUGCACGUUUUGGGAUUGAAGGCAGGAGAACAGAUGGAGUCCUUCUAGGACAUUGGCCAUAGGAGAAGAGAGCUUGACACUCGUGAUCCCUUGGCUUUAUACUGAGUAUGGCAUAUGUGAAAUGGAAUACCUCAUUGGUCAGUUUUAAGUCAUGUGUCCUGUCCACUUCUCCUUGCAGAUGUGACCUUUUAUUGCCCUUUGAUUUAGGCAUUCCACUGACUUCAGCAAUGGUCUUGGUUACUAUUAAAAUAAAUAUAAGUGAGAGUCUUGCUGGAUGCCACUCAUCCCAUUACUUAAUAGUAACUAUAAAUAUCAGGCAUUAUCACUUCUAGAAAUAGGCACUGUCUGAAAAACUUGUUCUUCAGAAAAUGCAGUCACUUAGGAAAGGUUCAACAGAAAAGUUAGAGAAUUACAUCUGGUUUAGUUCAAAACAGGACAAGGAUGGAGACUGUUCAGCUUUGCACUUUUCAACUUUUCAACUACUCACUUUUCAACUCUCUUUGUGGUUCAAACUCUUCCCUGUGUCGUACUGGAACCCACCGGAAAUGGAGUUUUUGAUCACGACUUCUUAUCCUGCCAGCAUAUACCUUCAGAAAGAACCUGGAUCUGUCUCUUCAAUAACCUGCCAAUAGGUAUUGGGGGAUUGCCAUCAGGUUCCCAUGAAGCCGGCUGUCUCUUCUUCAGGGUGAACAAGUGCUCUCUCCUCAGCUUCUUCUCACAGGGUCCGCAUUUAUAGCAUGUCAUAAGAAAGUGCACAACACGUCAAGAGUAUAAAGACCUGCUCCUGCAAGCACUUGUGAUGUUCAAUUUCAAUAGAAGAUAUGAAGAAGGAAUUGAAGUACAAAACAUUUUAAAAAUUUCUUAAUACUCCACUAGCAUACAAAAGAUUAGACACUUUGAAGUAUUUACCAUAUAUCUGUUGCCCAUGUGAAAACCAGAAACAUUUCAGUGAAAAACACUGAAAUGUCUUAUUUGUCUCAAACACUCCCAGGCAUUAAAGAGCCAUAUUCUUUUGUGUUAUGGGUCUUGUGGCUAUAAAAGCAGAAGGAUUGAGACCAGCUGUAAGGAAACUUCAGGUGGAGUGCUGCUAUGGACUGGACAACCUGUUGGCUGGAGUGACAGUGAAACCAGGGCUGGUGAUCUGAGAGGCCUCCUUUCCUUUCUUGGGCCUCCUCUCUUCUUGACUAAGCACUUCUCUUUUUCUGUUUUUCUGAUCAAUGCAUGGCCUAUCAUAGUAUUGUGUCUGGUGAUGCAUAUUUUAUGUACAUAUUGUAGUACUGUAAUGGUGUUUGAAGCCACAUAUUUUGCCUGUGUGAUUAAGUGUGGGCACAUAUUAACAAUAUUAACAAUUGUUUUGUGUUUAUGGACCUUUGGUGUUUUUUCACCACAUUUCUAACCAGGGUGAAUUAACAAACGUUAGUCUCCUCUCCCCUUAUGGGAUAAGGCAGCAUGUCACAGGUUGUAUGUUAUUUGUGAGUCAAUGUUAGUGUAUAUGAAAUAUUUAGUUAUUGUUACCUCUGGAGCAAGAUAAAUUCAGUUAUGUUUUGUUUUAUGUGUGUGUCUCAAAGUAAUGAUUUUUUUAUUGUUACUAUUUUAUAUUAGUAAAGCUCUCAACAAUUUGUGUAAUUAAUAAGGUAGGGUGACUUGUUCAAUAUCCGAAUCCAGCUGGUACUUACAUAUUACAUUUAUGCAACGCAUGUACAAAAGCUUUAUACACUCACUUGGAGGAUACUUAUUUAUAGAUUAUGUUUGAGGAAUUUUAAUGGGGCUGUAACUGGUUAAGCCAGAUAACAACGACUGGUACAACGAUAAGAGGAAGAAGAACCAGCUGGGCCAGAUAAGGCCUUGGAGAGGACCCAGAGAGCCUAAGAACAUGUGCAAGAGGAAAGGUGAAAAGUUCAACAUGAGGAAGACUGCCUGCCUUCAUCCCCAAAGACCGUAUCCACCACUGCCAGGAGAAAACGAGCAAGCGCUAAAAUGAGGAGGCUUGUGAUGAUGAGUUCCCAUAAUUGAUCUUACUAUAAUAAUGAGUUCCCGUGACUAAUCUUACUAACCCUACCCACUUAUCGGAAAAGUCAUGACUAUGCAUGUUAACCCAAUGCAGAUGUAUAAUAUAGCACAAUAAAUAUGUGUCAGCUUUGAUGCUUGGCGUCCAAGCUUGGAAGAAAAAUCCCCCUUGCAUGGGGUGCAAGUUCCUAAAGUUAUAGAAAUGAAUCCCAGCCUGUUC